UACGGAGGAGGCAAGCGUUAUCCGGAAUUAUUGGGCGUAAAGCGUCCGCAGGUGGCUCUUCAAGUCUGUCGUCAAAGACUGGGGCUUAACCCUGGAAAGGCGGUGGAAACUGAAGCGCUAGAGUGCGGUAGGGGUAGAGGGAAUUCCCGGUGUAGCGGUGAAAUGCGUAGAGAUCGGGAAGAACAUCGGUGGCGAAAGCGCUCUACUGGGCCGCAACUGACACUCAGAGACGAAAGCUAGGGGAGCGAAUGGG
rnacentral:rRNA from 1 species